rnacentral:rRNA from 1 species
UACAUGCAAGUCGAGCGGACAGAUGGGAGCUAGCUCCCUGAUGUUAGCGGCGGACGGGUGAGUAACACGUGGGUAACCUGCCUGUAAGACUGGGAUAACUCCGGGAAACCGGGGCUAAUACCGGAUGCUUGUUUGAACCGCAUGGUUCAGACAUAAAAGGUGGCUUCGGCUACCACUUACAGAUGGACCCGCGGCGCAUUAGCUAGUUGGUGAGGUAACGGCUCACCAAGGC